AUGGCCGGGGAUGGCCGGCCCGAGCUCCACCUCCGCCCCCCUCCUCCGAUGUGCUGUUUUGUACAGGUUACAAAAAAGAGGAAAAUAAUUCUGAGCUCUGAGAUUCCAAUGCUGACAUUGACUGAACCACACCGGCGGGCCGAGGCGCUCCACGGCGGUGCCCCCGUCCAUCACCCUCCAAUCCGGAGGGACCUGUAUGCCUCUUCAAACCACCUCGACCUCCUCCUGUCGACUGAUUCCCGCCAGCCGUUCAACCGGAGCAGCCCCAUCCAGGGCCGACGGACUCUCCGGCCUCCCUCCCUGCCCUGCUUCGCCCCUCGGUUCAUUAUUCAUCUCCUUCCUUCCUGCAGACAGCACUUAUAUUUCGUCCAAUUAGAUCUAUGCAGUCAUAUUCAGGAUGAUCCACGGAUAAUGAUCGAGUACCGGGCGAUAGCAGAGUUGUACCUCAGAGCUCAGGUGGAGCAUAGUGAAGAGUUCAGUUGUAUAGGGCCAGAUCCUGUGUUUGGAAUAUGUGUCAUUGGCUGCACAUAUGUCUUGAACUGUUCAAUGCAUGAUGAUGCACAUACUGUCAGAAGAAGUGCAGAUCAAAGCUCGACUCAUCUGAAGGAGUUCUCUACUCCUGUGUGGAAGUGUUUUAUUAAGUACAGCCAACAUGGAGAAGAAGAGCCGGUGGCCACCAUGGUGGUCGGGCCGCUGCUGUCCGCUGUGAAGGAGAAGGCGUCCAGCUAUCUGCCUGACCAGUACAAGGUGAUGGAGGGCAUGGAGGAGCAGCACAGGGUCCUCAAGUGCAAGCUGCAGGCCAUCCUGGACGUCAUCACCGACGCUGAGCAUGCCGCGACACACAGAGAAGGGGCCAAGGCUUGGCUCGAGGAGGUCAAGAGGGUGGCUUAUGAGGUGAAUGAGAUCUUUGAUGAGUUCAAGUACGAGGCGCUCCGCCGUGAGGCCAAGAAGAAUGGGCACUACAGCAAGCUCGGCAUCGAUGCAGUAAGAUUCUUCGUCACUCGCAACCGUUUUGCGUUCCGUGACAAAAUGAAGAAGAAGCUGUGCAGAAUCUUGCAGGCCAUUGAGGUCCUUGUGGUUGAGAUGAACGCCUUUGGCUUUAAAUAUCAGCAGCAAGCACCAAUAUCCAUGCACUGGCAGCAGAUGGAUCCUGUUAUCUCUGAUCCAAAGAAAAUCAUUAGCAGAUCGAGAAGCCAAGAUACUAAGAAUAUUGUUGACGCACUAUUUUGUCAAGCUAGCAAUGCAAAUCUCACAGUUGUUCCCAUUGUUGGGAUAGGGGGGCUAGGCAAGACAACCUUAGCGCAACUCAUUUACAAUGAACCUGAAGUUCAGAAGCAUUUCGAGUUGCUGAUAUGGGUUUGUGUCUCUGACAGCUUUGAUGUGGAUUCCUUGGCUCGAAGAAUUGUUGACUUUCAUCUUAAAAAUAGUAUAAUCAAAGCACCUUUUAAGAAGGGCCCAUUGGAUAGCCUCCAAAUUGUACUAAGCGGGCGUAGAUACCUCCUUGUCUUGGAUGAUGUACGGAACCGAGAGAGCGACAAGUGGAAAAAGCUCGAGGUCCGCCUUACACAUGGUGCUAAGGGCAGUGUGGUUUUGGCAACUACUCGUGAUGAAGGAGUCGCAAAAAUAAUGGGUACAGUUAAAGCCUACAAUCUCGCAGCUUUGGAGGAUAACUUUAUAGAGGAAAUUAUCGAGUCAAGAGCAUUCAGUCUGCAGAAGGAAGAAGAAAGGCCGGCCAUGCUAGUUAAUAUGGUUGGUGAGAUCGUGAAGAGAUGUCGUGGCUCUCCUUUGGCCGCAACAGCGCUGGGCUCUAUGCUGCGUACAAAGACCAGCAAAGAAGAAUGGAAGGCUAUAUCAAGAAGAAGCAACAUUUGCACCGAGGAGUCUGGAAUUUUACCGAUACUCAUGCUCAGCUACAAUGAUAUGUCAUCACAGAUGAAGCAAUGUUUUUCUUUCUGUGCUGUGUUUCCCAAGGAUUACGAGAUUGAUGUAGACAAACUGAUCCAACUAUGGAUCGCACAUGGCUUUAUCAUGGACCAAAAAGAAGUUAGUCCUGAAACCAUUGGCCAAUGGAUUUUCAAUGAGCUGACCUCAAGGUUAUUCUUUGUGGAUGUGAAGAAAGUCCGAGUCUCACUGUAUGAAUAUGCGCGCCCGGUGGUGGGUGAUUAUCCCAAAGAUACAUGUAAAAUCCAAGAUCUUAUGCAUGAUGUUGCAUUGUCUACAAUGGAAAAAGAAUGUGCUCUUGCACCUGAGGAACCACGUCAGAUUGAGUGGCUUCCAGAUACAGCUCGCCACUUAUUUCUGUCUUGUGGACAACCAGAAACUAUUUUGAAUGAAUCUAUGGCGAAAAGAUCUCUGGCUAUCCAGACACUUAUGUGUGAUUGUUACAUAGAAAUGGGAGUUCGGUUGCAGCAUUUAUCAAAAUACAACUCUUUGAAGGCAGUACGGCUCCUUUUAAAUUGGGGCGGACAAUUCCAUUUGAAACCAAAGCAUCUGCAUCACCUAAGGUACCUUGAUCUCUCAAGAAGUUAUAUCGAAUCACUUCCUGAAGAUAUAAGCAUUUUAUACAGCCUGCAAACAUUGAACAUAUCUUGCUGCUACUCACUUCGUCGGCUUCCAAGACAAAUGAAGUAUUUGACUGCCCUCCGUCACCUAUACACUCAUUGUUGUCCGAAGUUGAGGAGCAUGCCUGGUGGUCUCCGAAAACUCAUGUCCCUGCAGACACUUACAUGUUUUAUAGCAGGUCCUACUGGCUCUAAGUGCAGUGCCAUUGGAGAGUUGCUACAUUUAAACCUUGGUGGUCAGCUAGAGCUAACUCAACUAGAGAAUGUGACAGAAGAAGAUGCAAAAGUGGCAAAUAUCGGCAAUAAGAAGGAACUGCGAGGCUUGACAUUAAAAUGGAGCGUUGGUUGUGCUGAUGAUGCUAGAGUGCUCAAGAGUCUGAAACCUCAUGAUGGACUGCUGGGUGUAAGGAUAGAAUUCUACGGAGGCACCACCUUUCCGACAUGGAUGGCUAUGUCGAGAAACAUGGUUGAGAUCCAACUUUUCCAGUGUGAAAAACUGCAAUGGCUAUUCGGUUGUGAUACCACCUUCACUUUUCCAAAUAUGAAGGAGCUUACACUACAAGAUCUGCAUUGUUUGGACAGAUGGUGGGAAACAAGUAACGAGGUACAAGGACAAGAAAUAAUGUUUCCUCGGCUUGAGAAGUUAUCUAUUGUUAGCUGUGCAAAGUUAACAGCGUUGCCGGACACAACACUGCUUGGAGAACCUCAUGGUACAAUGGCACGGUCAGCAUUUCCAGCAUUGAAGGAACUCUACUUGGAUUUCUUGGACAACUUUUGGAAAUGGGAGGCAACCGAGGGAACACAGAGAGGACACAUGCAUUACUGGAAGCACCGGUUGAUGGAGAUUAUAGUAUGGCACGGUCAGCGUUUCCUGCAUUUCGAAGGAUAUAAAGGAGAAAACUUAAUGUUUCCUCAGCUUGAGCAAUUGGUUGUCAUACACUGUGAAAAUAUGACAACAUUAUGUGGACAACGGACCUUCCCUCGCCUUCAGGAGAUCCGUAUCGAGUUUUGUCCAAAGCUGACAACAAAAGCUAAAUCACCAAAGCUCAGCCUGUUACACAUGGAGGGAAAUGAGGAAGAGAUGUUCCUGUGGGUAGCUAGACAUAUGACAUCAUUGACCAAUCUGAAACUGAAGAACCUUGAAGACACACAAUCAACCUUGGAGGCGGCUGAUCAUAGUUUGACACAAGUGGUGGACGCCAUGAAAAAAUGGAAUCGAGAUGAUUUCCCUAUGGCAAUUAUGAACUUGAGUGGCUUUAAGUCGGGUGUAACUGAGCUAUGUGCAUGUUUUGUACGGCUUGAAUGGUUGUACAUCAAUGAUUGUGCUGCGCUUGUCCACUGGCCAGAGAAAGAGUUCCAAGGCUUGGUAUCCUUGAGGAGUCUAGAGAUUUCGUACUGCAAGCAACUGGUUGGAUACGCACAAGCUCCUGCAGCCGAGCCAUCAGCAACAUUAGAAUCCUCGAUUCAGCUCCUGCCAAGCCUCGAGUAUCUCAAGAUAUUUCAAUGUGAAAGCAUGGUAGAGGUCUUCAAACUCCCUGCAUCCCUGAGGAAAAUGGAAAUUCUUGAUUGUCCUAAGCUCAAAAACUCAAGAUCGGAGGAUGUGAAAUCCUGUCAUCCCUACAAGAUGGGUCACAAGCAUGUUCUUUACAUUGGAAACUGUCCUAGUAUGAAGAGACUCCCUACAUGCCUGCAACAGCGUAUGAGCAGCAGUAGCAUCCAGAAGAAAUGUCUAGAUGCCCAUCUUGAAGGGCCUAGUCUACUGAAGCCCAAGGCGUGGAAGUAUACCAUCUGCAGAGAUUAUGAGAGCAAGCAUUUACAGAACCUACUGAAACACAUGGUUGUCAGCUGCAUCCUGGACAGUCAGCUAGCCUUGCAAUGGUGUACGAGGAGAGGGAUAUCCUUUCAGCAGCUACAAAAAAACCAUGAGUAUUAUCUUUCGCUUACUGCGAAAUGCACCAGCGCCUACCAGGAUCACUGGAGUGCGCCGGCCACAGAAGCACUUUCAGGAAGCUUCUAA
rnacentral:rRNA from 1 species